rnacentral:rRNA from 1 species
CACGUAGGCACCAAGCGUUGUCCGGAUUUAUUGGGCGUAAAGAGCUCGUAGGCGGUUCGGUAAGUCGGGUGUGAAAGCCCGGGGCUUAACCCCGGGUCUGCAUUCGAUACGGGCUAGCUAGAGUGUGGUAGGGGAGAUCGGAAUUCCUGGUGUAGCGGUGAAAUGCGUAGAUAUCAGGAGGAACACCUGCGGUGUAGACGGCUUACUGGACCAUAACUGACGCUGAGGCACGAAAGCGUGGGUAGCAAACAGG